rnacentral:rRNA from 1 species
ACCCUUUAAUGUUUGAUGUUCUAACGUGGACCCGUUACCCGGGUUGCGGACAGUGUCUGGUGGGUAGUUUGACUGGGGCGGUCUCCUCCUAAAGAGUAACGGAGGAGCACGAAGGUUGGCUAAUCCUGGUCGGACAUCAGGAGGUUAGUGCAAUGGCAUAAGCCAGCUUGACUGCGAGCGUGACGGCGCGAGCAGGUGCGAAAGCAGGUCAUAGUGAUCCGGUGGUUCUGAAUGGAAGGGCCAUCGCUCAACGGAUAAAAGGUACUCCGGGGAUAACAGGCUGAUACCGCCCAAGAGUUCAUAUCGACGGCGGUGUUUGGCACCUCGAUGUCGGCUCAUCACAUCCUGGGGCUGAAGUAGGUCCCAAGGGUAUGGCUGUUCGCCAUUUAAAGUGGUACGCGAGCUGGGUUUAGAACGUCGUGAGACAGUUCGGUCCCUAUCUGCCGUGGGCGCUGGAGAACUGAGGGGGGCUGCUCCUAGUACGAGAGGACCGGAGUGGACGCAUCACUGGUGUUCGGGUUGUCAUGCCAAUGGCACUGCCCGGUAGCUAAAUGCGGAAGAGAUAAGUGCUGAAAGCAUCUAAGCACGAAACUUGCCCCGAGAUGAGUUCUCCCUGAGACUUAGAGUCUCCUGAAGGAACGUUGAAGACG